ACAAAGUCCUGCUGGUUGACAUCUUUCACCGUGACGCUGGGCAUCUGAAAAAGCAAAACGGAGACCAGGCAAAGGCUUUUCAAGAAGUGUGCUGCAGUCAGCAGGCGAGGAGGAGAGAGCAACCAGAAGACACCAUCAGUGGAUGGUUCAGCCUCUGAGACAACCCAAACUUUUUAACCGAAGAUUUUUCUAAGGAAUGCCCCGGUCAACCAUAGAAGCUCCCCAGUGAGAAGAGAGCCAUGGGAAAAGCCUCAAACUAGACCCUGGUUGUGAGGGUGUGAUCCGGUCCAUUUUGUGCAGACGUGUCAAGACGAAACGUUUCAUGUCGGACUGCAUCGGCAUCGAUAAAAAACAACGAGACUGAAAAUGACAAAAUACAAGACCUGUCGUCGAGGGACAGUUUGAUACUGUCAUCCCCUCCGUGCUGAUUCAUUUCUAGACAUUUCAAAGCUCCUCGCAGCAACUGAAAGUAUUAAUUUUUAUGAAAAAGAUGUGCAUUAUCAUAGG